GACGAACGCUGGCGGCGCGCCUAAUACAUGCAAGUCGAACGGGUCUCCUUCGGGGAGGUCAGUGGCGGACGGGUGAGUAACACGUGGGUGACCUGCCCCGAAGUGGGGAAUAACGCUGCGAAAGCAGCGCUAAUACCGCAUAUGCUUAACGGUCCAAUCUGUUAAGCAAAGCAGCAAUGCGCUUUGGGAGGGGCCUGCGGCAGAUUAGCUAGUCGGUGGGGUAAUGGCCUACCGAGGCGACGAUCUGUAGCUGGUCUGAGAGGAUGACCAGCCACAC
rnacentral:rRNA from 1 species